rnacentral:rRNA from 1 species
UUUAUUACUAUGAAGAGUUUGAUCCUGGCUCAGGAUGAACGCUAGCGACAGGCUUAACACAUGCAAGUCGAGGGGCAUCAUGAGGUAGCAAUACCUUGAUGGCGACCGGCGCACGGGUGAGUAACGCGUAUGCAACCUGCCUGAUACCGGGGUAUAGC